rnacentral:misc_RNA from 1 species
GUGAAUCAUCGAAUCUUUGAACGCAAAUUGCACUCUCCUCGGAGAGUAUGCCUGUUUGAGGGUCAGCCUAAAAAAAUCGACAUUGGUGCUGGUUUAUUGUUACUUUCCUCCGAAAUUGGGGCAUCUUAAAUCCUUUUGAUUUAAGCCGCUUAAAAUUUUCUUUUUGUUCCAUGAACGUUUCUAAGAUCUAUUUCUUUACAAGUUUAAGGGAUCGAUUUUUAAUAGACGUUACCAUCAUAUCGG